rnacentral:rRNA from 1 species
AGCAGCCGCGGUAAUUCCAGCUCCAAUAGCGUAUAUUAAAGUUGUUGCAGUUAAAAAGCUCGUAGUUGAAUUUCGGGAUCAAUACGUCGGUCGUGCUUCGGUACGUACUGGUGUCAUUGAUUUCUCCCUUCUGACGAACCAUGAUGUCAUUAACUUGGUGUCAUGGGAAAUCAGGACUGUUACUUUGAAAAAAUUAGAGUGUUUAAAGCAGGCUCACGCUUGAAUACAUUAGCAUGGAAUAAUGAAAUAGGACGUUUGAUUCUAUUUUGUUGGUUUCUAGGAUCGACGUAAUGAUUAAUAGGGAUAGUUGGGGGCAUUAGUAUUCAAUUGUCAGAGGUGAAAUUCUUGGAUUUAUUGAAGACUAACUACUGCGAAAGCAUUUGCCAAGGAUGUUUUCAUUAAUCAAGAACGAAAGUUAGGGGAUCGAAGACGAUCAGAUACCGUCGUAGU